rnacentral:lncRNA from 1 species
GCGUAGAGGAGGCAGAGGAUCCGGCCCAACUCGCCUUUAGACCCGGCGGUGCUGCUUUGCGUCUCAGGCCUCUUUGUUAAUGUUCUCAGGAAGCAUCUCAAGCUUCCGUGAGAGGAUUUAAUGGCGGUACCGUGGCAACAACAAACUAUUCAACUUGGCCGCUGACGAAGGCUUUGAAUCCGAGGCCGUAUAGAUGAGAUCUAAGGCGGAGGCGGGUUCUCCUUGGAGGCUUUAUGCUUUCUCGAAGGCUUGCCAGACUGAGAGUCUGAGUGGAGCGGCGUUCCUUCUUGAUUUCGAACCCAGAAAGGGAGAAAGCGCCUAGGCUCCGACCUUCCAGAGCCGCCCAGCCCCGCCUAGGCGGCCGACUUUAUUCCCAGCACCCAGCUCGCUCGACUAGGGGAGAAUCAGAGGGGUACCAGAGAGAUCUCGGAGGCGGUGGAUUCGUGGUCAAGGGCUUCACAGUCGGGGAUUGGGAAAGAGAUUGUCAGAGUAGCAGUGGAGUUUUGGAAAGAGAGUGAAUGCUACCACG